rnacentral:rRNA from 1 species
UUAUGACCUGGGCUACACACGUGCUACAAUGGGAAGUACAACGAGUUGCGAAGUCGCGAGGCUAAGCUAAUCUCUUAAAGCUUCUCUCAGUUCGGAUUGCAGGCUGCAACUCGCCUGCAUGAAGCCGGAAUCGCUAGUAAUCGCGGAUCAGCACGCCGCGGUGAAUACGUUCCCGGGCCUUGUACACACCGCCCGUCACACCACGAGAGUUUGUAACACCCGAAGUCGGUGAGGUAACCUUUUGGAGCCAGCCGCCUAAGGUGGGAUAGAUGAUUGGGGUGAAGUCGUAACAAGGUAGCCGUAUCGGAAGGUGCGGUUGGAUCACCUCCNNA